AACGAACGCCGGCGGCAUGCCUAACACAUGCAAGUCGAACGAGACCUUCGGGUCUAGUGGCGCACGGGUGCGUAACGCGUGGGAACCUGCCCUUAGGUUCGGAAUAACUCCCCGAAAGGGGUGCUAAUACCGGAUAAUGUCUUCGGACCAAAGAUUUAUCGCCUUUGGAUGGGCCCGCGUUGGAUUAGCUAGUUGGUAGGGUAAAAGCCUACCAAGGCGACGAUCCAUAGCUGGUCUGAGAGGAUGAUCAGCCACACUGGGACUGAGACACGGCCCAGACUCCUACGGGAGGCAACAGUGGGGAAUAUUGGACAAUGGGCGAAAGCCUGAUCCAGCAAUGCCGCGUGAGUGAUGAAGGCCUUAGGGUUGUAAAGCUCUUUUACCCGGGAUGAUAAUGACAGUACCGGGAGAAUAAGCUCCGGCUAACUCCGUG
rnacentral:rRNA from 1 species